UUAAGCGACUAAGCGUACACGGUGGAUGCCCUGGCAGUCAGAGGCGAUGAAGGACGUGCUAAUCUGCGAUAAGCGUCGGUGAGGUGAUAUGAACCGUUAUAACCGGCGAUUUCCGAAUGGGGAAACCCAGUGUGUUUCGACACACUAUCAUUAACUGAAUCCAUAGGUUAAUGAGGCGAACCGGGGGAACUGAAACAUCUAAGUACCCCGAGGAAAAGAAAUCAACCGAGAUUCCCCCAGUAGCGGCGAGCGAACGGGGAGGAGCCCAGAGCCUGAAUCAGUGUGUGUGUUAGUGGAAGCGUCUGGAAAGGCGUGCGAUACAGGGUGACAGCCCCGUACACAAAAAUGCACAUAUUGUGAGCUCGAUGAGUAGGGCGGGACACGUGGUAUCCUGUCUGAAUAUGGGGGGACCAUCCUCCAAGGCUAAAUACUCCUGACUGACCGAUAGUGAACCAGUACCGUGAGGGAAAGGCGAAAAGAACCCCGGCGAGGGGAGUGAAAAAGAACCUGAAACCGUGUACGUACAAGCAGUGGGAGCCUCUUAAUGGGGUGACUGCGUACCUUUUGUAUAAUGGGUCAGCGACUUAUAUUCUGUAGCAAGGUUAACCGAAUAGGGGAGCCGAAGGGAAACCGAGUCUUAACUGGGCGUUAAGUUGCAGGGUAUAGACCCGAAACCCGGUGAUCUAGCCAUGGGCAGGUUGAAGGUUGGGUAACACUAACUGGAGGACCGAACCGACUAAUGUUGAAAAAUUAGCGGAUGACUUGUGGCUGGGGGUGAAAGGCCAAUCAAACCGGGAGAUAGCUGGUUCUCCCCGAAAGCUAUUUAGGUAGCGCCUCGUGAAUUCAUCUCCGGGGGUAGAGCACUGUUUCGGCAAGGGGGUCAUCCCGACUUACCAACCCGAUGCAAACUGCGAAUACCGGAGAAUGUUAUCACGGGAGACACACGGCGGGUGCUAACGUCCGUCGUGAAGAGGGAAACAACCCAGACCGCCAGCUAAGGUCCCAAAGUCAUGGUUAAGUGGGAAACGAUGUGGGAAGGCCCAGACAGCCAGGAUGUUGGCUUAGAAGCAGCCAUCAUUUAAAGAAAGCGUAAUAGCUCACUGGUCGAGUCGGCCUGCGCGGAAGAUGUAACGGGGCUAAACCAUGCACCGAAGCUGCGGCAGCGACACUAUGUGUUGUUGGGUAGGGGAGCGUUCUGUAAGCCUGUGAAGGUGGCCUGUGAGGGUUGCUGGAGGUAUCAGAAGUGCGAAUGCUGACAUAAGUAACGAUAAAGCGGGUGAAAAGCCCGCUCGCCGGAAGACCAAGGGUUCCUGUCCAACGUUAAUCGGGGCAGGGUGAGUCGACCCCUAAGGCGAGGCCGAAAGGCGUAGUCGAUGGGAAACAGGUUAAUAUUCCUGUACUUGGUGUUACUGCGAAGGGGGGACGGAGAAGGCUAUGUUGGCCGGGCGACGGUUGUCCCGGUUUAAGCGUGUAGGCUGGUUUUCCAGGCAAAUCCGGAAAACCAAGGCUGAGGCGUGAUGACGAGGCACUACGGUGCUGAAGUGACAAAUGCCCUGCUUCCAGGAAAAGCCUCUAAGCAUCAGGUAACAUCAAAUCGUACCCCAAACCGACACAGGUGGUCAGGUAGAGAAUACCAAGGCGCUUGAGAGAACUCGGGUGAAGGAACUAGGCAAAAUGGUGCCGUAACUUCGGGAGAAGGCACGCUGAUAUGUAGGUGAAGCGACUUGCUCGUGGAGCUGAAAUCAGUCGAAGAUACCAGCUGGCUGCAACUGUUUAUUAAAAACACAGCACUGUGCAAACACGAAAGUGGACGUAUACGGUGUGACGCCUGCCCGGUGCCGGAAGGUUAAUUGAUGGGGUUAGCGGUAACGCGAAGCUCUUGAUCGAAGCCCCGGUAAACGGCGGCCGUAACUAUAACGGUCCUAAGGUAGCGAAAUUCCUUGUCGGGUAAGUUCCGACCUGCACGAAUGGCGUAAUGAUGGCCAGGCUGUCUCCACCCGAGACUCAGUGAAAUUGAACUCGCUGUGAAGAUGCAGUGUACCCGCGGCAAGACGGAAAGACCCCGUGAACCUUUACUAUAGCUUGACACUGAACAUUGAGCCUUGAUGUGUAGGAUAGGUGGGAGGCUUU
rnacentral:rRNA from 1 species